rnacentral:tRNA from 1 species
GGAAAUGUGGCUCAGUGGUAGAGUGCUUGCCUGAUAUGCAAGAAGCUCUGAGUCUCUUUCUUCAGUACCA